rnacentral:rRNA from 1 species
AUUGAACGCUGGCGGCAUGCUUUACACAUGCAAGUCGAACGGUAACAGGCCGCAAGGUGCUGACGAGUGGCGAACGGGUGAGUAAUGCAUCGGAACGUGCCCAGUCGUGGGGGAUAACUACUCGAAAGAGUAGCUAAUACCGCAUACGAUCUAUGGAUGAAAGCGGGGGACCGUAAGGACUCGCGCGAUUGGAGCGGCCGAUGUCAGAUUAGGUAGUUGGUGGGGUAAAGGCUCACCAAGCCAACGAUCUGUAGCUGGUCUGAGAGGACGACCAGCCACACUGGGACUGAGACACGGCCCAGACUCCUACGGGAGGCAGCAGUGGGGAAUUUUGGACAAUGGGCGCAAGCCUGAUCCAGCAAUGCCGCGUGCAGGAAGAAGGCCUUCGGGUUGUAAACUGCUUUUGUACGGAACGAAACGGCUCUGGUUAAUACCCGGGGCUAAUGACGGUACCGUACGAAUAAGCACCGGCUAACUACGUG